AACGAACGCUAGCGGGAUGCCUCAAACAUGCAAGUCGCACGCGAAAGGUAGCAAUACCGAGUAGAGUGGCGCACGGGUGAGUAACACGUAACUAACGUACCCUUUCGCUGGGGAUAACUCCGGGAAACCGGAGCUAAUACCGAAUGAUCUAACUGGGACUGCGGUCUCGGUUGGUAAAGGCGUAAGCCGCGAAAGGAUCGGGUUGCGGUCUAUUAGCUAGUUGGUGAGGUAAUGGCUCACCAAGGCGACGAUAGAUAGCUGGUCUGAGAGGAUGAUCAGCCACACUGGAACUGGAACACGGUCCAGACUCCCACGGGAGGCAGCAGUUGGGAAUAUUGGACAAUGGGCGCAAGCCUGAUCCAGCAAUCCCGCGUGAGGGACGAAGGCC
rnacentral:rRNA from 1 species